CGAACGGGUGAGUAAUGCGUGACCAACCUGCCCCAUGCUCCAGAAUAGCUCUUGGAAACGGGUGGUAAUGCUGGAUGCUCCAACUUGACGCAUGUCUUGUUGGGAAAGUGUUUAGUGGCAUGGGAUGGGGUCGCGUCCUAUCAGCUUGUAGGCGGGGUAAUGGCCUACCUAGGCUUCGACGGGUAGCCGGCCUGAGAGGGCGGACGGCCACAUUGGGACUGAGAUACGGCCCAGACUCCUACGGGAGGCAGCAGUC
rnacentral:rRNA from 1 species